rnacentral:misc_RNA from 1 species
GAACUACGAGGAUAUGGAGUUUGAACCGCAGACAUACUUCUCUUUUACAGAGCUGUUGGCAUCUGAUGAUGGUGACCAGUUGGAUGGAUUUGAUGCUUCAGGGAAUGUUUUGGGGAACUCUGAAAAUCAGGUUUGUACAGUUUCACAGGAUGGGUUUCCUGAACAGUGUGCAAUGGAUAUUUCUGGUGAUCAGCAAGAAUCAAUGAUUGCUUCCAAAUCAACCAUUAAUACUAAGCAGUGUAAGAUGUGUUCACACUCAGAACCAGUC